GGAAGCCACCUCCUUCUCUGCCCCCUCCCCUCGCACACAGGCUUCCCAUCAGCCUCCAUCACUCGUCGGGUGUCGGAGGAGCGGCCACACGGCAGCAUCCCCCGACCUCCCCGGCUGCCCACGCAAAGGUGACAGGCUCUAAUCGCUCCAUCUUCUCACACUCUGCAGGCACAGGAAGGCUGUGAGGUGUGUUUCCAGGAUACCACUUUCCCAGCACCUCAGCCGACACCGGCAAUCUGCAGCGCCUCUGCACGUGUGCCCUCUCUGUAGGUACCUGUAGCCAGACGUGAGGCACCUCAUGUGUCCCAGGCUGCAUUGCCAUCUGUAGAUGGUUUUGCCCUCUCAGAGCCCCCUUGUCUUUCACUGACCACGGAAGUUUAAAACAGGUGCUGAAAGUUUUAGAUGCCUUUUAAAGACCUCCACAGAGGAUAGGGGUGCCUGAAAGACUGGUUGAGAGACAGGGAACUGCUCACCAUGAAAAGGGCUUGCCAAUGGACAUGGUAGGUCCAAGCUGUUCUAUGAGAGGUUGGUUAGUAGGAUAUUAUUUGGGGUAAAGGUCAAAGGCUGGUGCAUCUGCUGUCCAUCUAUGGCUCUACAAGCAAAAUUUUAAUAGGUUGCUACCCUUUGUUCAAUGUUUUUUAACACUCUGUAGCAAUACCCUACACUCCAAAGUUGAAAUAACCAAGAUUACCUGACUGCCAGUUUGCAUUGGCAAGGGAGAGAGAGGAAACAAAAAAUUCUCUUAGUCACAAGCAUUUCCAUGCUUUUGAAAAAAAUGACUGUCUGUUCUUUGGAUGGAGUAUCUGCCAGGUCAGCCAGCUGGAUUCUUUUUUUAAAGUGACUCCAAUUCUUCUUUAGGACAAUGCUUCUUUAGGAAUAGCAGCUCUGCUACUCCGUUCUAUUCCUCAAGCAGUUUCAGAGGUCAUGGAAUGCAGGGACUUAGACUAGAAAACAAAAUUCAGAAAAAUGCACCAUCUUUCUUCCCCACCCUGCCUUGCUCUGCUCGCUGGGGAGUCCUGCACCCAAGUUAUUAGGGAGAACCUAAGAGGUCAUCACUUGUCAUCUUGUCUAAGAUGACAAGAACUUUUCUAUGAGACUAGGCAGUACAGACUGCACCAUCAUUUUCCCUUUCUCUUUCCAGGUGCACAUGGAAAUGUGCUCUCAAAUGUCCUCUAAUAUCUACCUGAUUUAAACACAUGCUUCAAAAGGCGCAUUUGGAUUGUAAAAGGCAUUCAUACAAAAUUAAAGCUUCUCUUGUCAAUUGCAUUUUCCAGUUAAAUGCAGAGAAAUAUGGAAAUAAAUUGAUCUUCUGAACAGUGCUUUGUGGAUGGCAGUGAUGGAUGGUUAAAUGUUCGUAAGUCUAUGAAAUGAACAACCAUGACAGUUCUUGUUCCAUGGGGAACCUCCAGGAACAAGAGAUAUUCUUUCUUUUUGGUUGUUGUGUUGUUUAGUUUUGGGGUUUUUUUUCUUUUUUUCUUUUUUCUUCUUUUUUCAGGGGGUAUGUGUGUGUAUUGUUGAAUUAUUUACUGGGGGGUAGGGAUCGGACCAUAUAGAAUGGCCUUUCCCUCAUUCAGAAUACACCACAGCAUUUAAGUCUCUGAGCCUGAAAUACUGAGCAUUAUUAAGCUUGUUAAUUCCUAUGUAUUCCUAAGUGAGAAACAGAUUGAUCUGCUUAACAGGCUGUGUUUUCCUAGUCAAUAUUUACUUGUCCUUACAUAUAAAUGCUGAUCUUAUUAGGGCAAUAAAUUAUCUCCGUUCUAAUCCAGUUUCGUACAUGAAGCCCUUUUCUUCCUUGGGGCCUCUUUUUGAGAAAUUUUACAGGAUAUGUAGUGCCCAUAACUACUUUGUCUUUCUUCUCUUUCUCAAGGUGUGGUCUUGCAGCCAUUAAGUUCAUUGCAGAGGAGAAACUAAAUGCUUUCCAGCUGCACAAUUUCUCAUGUAUGAAGUAUGGUGGGACUGUGGAAAGCCAUAUACCAUUACCUGCCUACAGUCACUAAUGUAACAUGCGCAGAUGGACAAAGAGAUGUUUGCCUUCCCAGCCUGAAAGUGAUUUGAAAAGAUGUCAGCGUCUGGAUGGAUGGAAGUGAACACCCAGCACUGUUGCAUUAUCCAUGCUCUGAGCUGAGGGAACAAGAGGGUCAGCCUAAAAGCCAUAUUGAUAUAUGAUGUUUCUAUGCAUAAGGUCAUCUGAUUAAGAGAUUAUGUGGCUUAAGUGCUA